rnacentral:rRNA from 1 species
UACGGAGGGGGCAAGCGUUGUUCGGAAUCACUGGGCGUAAAGGGCGCGUAGGCGGUGUGCCAAGUCAGAUGUGAAAGCCCCGGGCUCAACCUGGGAACCGCAUUUGAGACUGGCAUACUCGAGAUCGGGAGAGGUGAGUGGAAUUCCCAGUGGAGAGGUGAAAUUCGUAGAGAUUGGGAAGAACACCGGCGGCGAAGGCGGCUCACUGGACCGAUACUGACGCUGAGGCGCGACAGCGUGGGGAGCAAACAGGAUUAGAAACCCCUGUAGUCC